GCAGUCGAACGAUGAAACUUUUUUGAUUUCUUCGGAAUGAAAAAAAGUGGAUUAGUGGCGGACGGGUGAGUAACGCGUGAGUAACCUGCCUUAGAGAAGGGGAUAGCCUUUGGAAACGAAGAAUAAUACCCUAUGAAACCAUAACCUCGCAUGAGGCCUUGGUCAAAGAUUUAUCGCUCUAAGAUGGACUUGCGUCUGAUUAGUUAGUUGGUGGGGUAACGGCCCACCAAGACAGCGAUCAGUAGCCGGCUUGAGAGAGUGUACGGCCACAUUGGGACUGAGACACGGCCCAGACUCCUACGGGAGGCAGCAGUGGGGAAUUUUGCACAAUGGGGGAAACCCUGAUGCAGCGACGCCGCGUGAUUUAGAAGGCCUUCGGGUUGUAAAAAUCUUUUCUAUGGGAAGAAAAUGACAGUACCAUAGGAAUAAGGACCGGCUAAUUACGUGCCAGCAGCCGCGGUAAUACGUAAGGUCCGAGCGUUGUCCGGAAUCAUUGGGCGUAAAGGGUACGUAGGCGGGUAAGCAAGUUAGAAGUGAAAUCCUAUAGCUCAACUAUAGUAAGCUUUUAAAACUGCUCAUCUUGAGGUAUGGAAGGGAAAGUGGAAUUCCUAGUGUAGCGGUGAAAUGCGCAGAUAUUAGGAGGAAUACCGGUGGCGAAGGCGACUUUCUGGCCAUAACCUGACGCUGAGGUACGAAAGCGUGGGUAGCAAACAGGAUUAGAUACCCUGGUAGUCCACGCCGUAAACGAUGAGUGUUAGGUGUCUGGAGUAAAUCUGGGUGCCGCAGCUAACGCAUUAAACACUCCGCCUGGGGAGUACGCGCGCAAGCGUGAAACUCAAAGGAAUUGACGGGGACCCGCACAAGCAGCGGAGCAUGUGGUUUAAUUCGACGCAACGCGAAGAACCUUACCAAGUCUUGACAUAUUAC
rnacentral:rRNA from 1 species